UCGUCAUUGGCUACGAUCUUUUGGGAGGAGCGCCGAGAGACGAAGUCAGAAGAAGCCUCUGUUUGCUAGUACUGUGAGAAAAUGUGGUCGCCGAAACAAACUCUGGAUCCUUUUUGUCGUUAACGAAGAAGUCUGAAUGCUAAAAUAAACUCUUGAGCUGCUUUUUUUUGUCGAAAACGAGUGAGACUGGACGCUGAACACAACUUCGGUGCGAAGGUUUACUGGUUCAGCUGCUGCAGCCUGGACUACGAAGGGAGUUUAAGCCACUCUGAUUUAACUCGGGUUAUCAAGGAACGUCGGGGUUGACAGACGUCGGCUGCCUCGAUCUGCGUUAACUACGGCGAUGGUGAAGAUGUCGGUGUCUCCACUUUGUCCACGAUCACAGAGAGUCUUUGUACAAUGAAGAAGUUCUUUGAGACCAGGACACAGGCCUCCAGGUGUCUCCACUUGGUCUUCGUACAGUGAAGAAGUUCUUUGAGACCAGGACUGAGGCCUCCAGGUGUCUCCACUUUGUCCACGAUCACAGAGAGUCUUCACACAAUGAAGAAGUUCUUUGAGACCAGGACACAGGCCUCCAGGAGGAGAAGACGACAGCAGCUGAAGACCUGAAGUGGAUGAAAGAAUGAAGCUGUUAAUGAAAUAAAAGAGCUCCACCAUCUAAC